rnacentral:lncRNA from 1 species
AUGCUUUUUUGUUUGGUUUUAAUAUAUUUUUAUUUUUUAGGUUUAAAUCAGGAAGAAGUAUUUUUGAAUGCUGAAAAGCAUUGGCUUCUAGGUUUCUAUGUUGGUUUUCCUAUUCUCAUUGUAGCCACUGCAAUAAUUGUGGCAUGGAAUAAAUUGAAAAAGCGGCCCACCAAGGAAGAGGAAUCCCGAAGUAACGAAUCCACGUCAGAAGAUAGUACUCAAGCAGAAACCAGCAGAUCAGACUCACAGGAAAGCACCCAAUCAACAAGUAGUAGUAGUAACUAG